rnacentral:rRNA from 1 species
AUUGAACGCUGGCGGCAGGCCUAACACAUGCAAGUCGAACGGUAGCACAGAGAGCUUGCUCUCGGGUGACGAGUGGCGGACGGGUGAGUAAUGUCUGGGAAACUGCCUGAUGGAGGGGGAUAACUACUGGAAACGGUAGCUAAUACCGCAUAACGUCGAAAGACCAAAGUGGGGGACCUUCGGGCCUCAAGCCCUCAGAUGGGCCCAGAUGGGGUUAGCUAGUAGGUGGGGUAAUGGCUCACCUAGGCGACGAUCCCUAGCUGGUCUGAGAGGAUGACCAGCCACACUGGAACUGAGACACGGUCCAGACUCCUACGGGAGGCAGCAGUGGGGAAUAUUGCACAAUGGGCGCAAGCCUGAUGCAGCCAUGCCGCGUGUAUGAAGAAGGCCUUCGGGUUGUAAAGUACUUUCAGCGAGGAGGAAGGCGUUAAGGUUAAUAACCUUGGCUAUUGACGUUACUCGCAGAAGAAGCACCGGCUAACUCCGUGCCAGCCGCCGCCGUAAAAC